CAUCUAUUAUCUUCUGAUCUUUCCACAUAGUUUAUCACAUGAACUGACAAGAACGGCGGCACAGUCUCUCCUGUUUGACGGAAAUUGCAGUCAAGCAUGCGCUCUGCGGCUCCAUUCAAAGGCUUUGGGGCUGCCGAAGAUAGCCGAGUGCUGUAUUCGGCUCUCUUCAUCAGUUCCAUGGAGAUUGAAUGGAGCGGCAUACUUGACCACCGAUAUAAACUGGAGAAACAGGACCCCUGUCCCUAGCAGCCAGACCUCCACCAGUCAGAGACAUCACCUAUUCUGUGGAUUUAGACCCAUUUGUUGUUAUCUGGUGCCUCCGUGACCACUGUGUGAUCCACUUUGCGGGGGAAUGCACAAUUGAAGCCUUCAGGAAAGUCAUCCUUUAAAUGGCUUCCUUGACCUGACAGUGCACUUCCAUGAUAGUUCCCUAACCUGGUGUUGAAGCUCAGUUCUACAAGACUGUAUAUCAUCUAGAAUGGCAUCAUGGAGAAGUGUGUGUCAUAAGAAAAGGGAAGUUAUGCUAGCCAUAAAUGACAUGGCUAUAAUUUGGGUAAGCGAGUGUCAUGCUCUGUUGUGUUGUCAGCAUCAAACAGCAGGACGGGGAGGAGGAGCCCUGCCUUCACUAUAGCCUCUGGAUUCCUCCUCUGCUCCCCUCCCUUGUCUGAGGAAUAAGCAGCGUUCUGCCAGCCUGUGCACUAAUCUGCACUUUAAGGUGUUCGGAGGGACGAGGAUCAGCAGGAUAACACCGUGCCAUGGGCCAGCUCUGCUGCUUUCCUUUUUCCCGAGACGAGGAGAAGAUCAUUUUCUGGCAGCUUCUUUCUAUUAACAGAUGCCGACAAGCAUUGGUGUGAAUGGGAUUCACCCAGCAUGAAGACAACUGUUAUGUUAUCUUUUACAUUUAGCAGUUUCAGAAACAUUUCCUAACUACUACUGAGAAACAUUUCACAAAAUGAUUGUAAAACUGCCUAUAUGUUUAACAGAUGGAAGUUGCUUCUUCAUUAUGUGUGAGCGUACCUUUAGAUGAGUAAAGCCAUUUUGCAUUUCCAUGGAAUACAGUAUGAGCUGUGAUACUCUUAGAGAGCAUGUUUUCCAUAUGUCUCUUGUGGAUUUAGUCAGCCCCCCACCAGUAACAGCCCUGUCAGAAGAUUUUCGGGCUGUACACUUUGGCAUUCAAUGAUUAACAAGUCUGGGA